UCCUCCCCAUUUCCCUCCUACACUCCCCAGCGAUACCCUCUCGCCAACGGCUCCAUCGUUCUCCUCUCGCCGACUCGCAGCCCCUCGCCGGAUUCUGAGUGAUGGCCGUGCGUGGUGGUUAGAGUCGGACUGUUGUGAGGUUGAGGGGGUGGUGGUUGUGAGGACCCCGUAGCAUAUCUUCUCUUCAGAGUCGUCGUAGCACACGCGAAGAGAGCUGCUUAUAGAGCCAGUCUAAAUCCCUAGCCAUGUCAAGAGUUGCUUGAGGUCGUGGAAUAGGAGAGGAGCCUUAGAUUUACUCCACCAAGAAAUGCUACGAUAUUUCAUCAUCCCACACUUGGGGAUUCUGAAUUACAGCAUUUGCUAGUGGGUGCAAAUGAUGCUGAACUUGAAGAACGGAUUUUACAACACUUUGCUGCUGCUGCAAUGGGAAGGGCUCACCACAUUGCCAGGAGGGAUGGCCUGAGAAGUCGAUCAUCUGCCAAUGGCCAUCCACUCCUUUUUGGUAUUUUCAGAGACAGUUUGCUCUCGUUAUCAAACCGUCUAUGGUUUUAGGGAAACCAUCGACAGUUUCAGUUUGCAGCAGGAAUAACUCUCGGCAUUAAACUGUAGACGAUUUGCCUGAAACCAUCGAUGGUUUCGUUCUGCAUAGAUAACAGAAUUUGAA